GACGAACGCUGGCGGCGUGUUUAACACAUGCAAGUCGAGCGGGAUCCAACCGGUGGCAACACCGGGGAAGAUCUAGCGGCGAACGGGUGAGUAACACGUGAGCAACCUGCCCCGAAGACUGGGAUAACACCGGGAAACCGGUGCUAAUACCGGAUGUCGUCAUUAGGCCGCAUGACCUGAUGAUGAAAGGAUUCAUCGCUUCGGGAGGGGCUCGCGGGCUAUCAGCUUGUUGGGGGGUAACGGCCUACCAAGGCGACGACGGCUAGCUGGUCUGAGAGGACGACCAGCCACACUGGGACUGAGACACGGCCCAGACUCCUACGGGAGGCAGCAGUGGGGAAUCUUGCGCAAUGGGCGAAAGCCUGACGCAGCAACGCCGCGUGGGGGAUGAAUGCCUUCGGGUU
rnacentral:rRNA from 1 species